rnacentral:lncRNA from 1 species
GUGGUUUUGUUUUGUUUAUAUCAUGCUUUUAUGGUUCAUAUAUCAUAAUGGUGGAAAUACAGAAGUUAAAAGAUCAAACUAAACUUAUAAAUAUACAAUGGAAUGGAAAUACGAGAGUGCACACGCUGAAAUGUCUCACCUUCUUUACUAAUCAUUGAUAUUAUGCUGAUAGUCCUAAAUAUAAAGCUUUAUUACAACUGUUACAUAAACUUAACAUUAACCAAGAAAACUAAACAUUGACCAAUGAACCAUGAAAAUGAGGUCAAGGUCAGAUGAACCAUGCCAGACAGGCAUGUACAGCUACCAAUUCUGCCAUACAACAAAUAUAGUUGACCUAUUGUUUAUAGUUUAAGAAAAACAGACCAAAACACAAAAACUUAACACUGAGCAAGGAACUGUGAAAAUGAGGUCAAGGUCAAAUAAAACCUGCGCGACUGACAUAUAGAUCAUAAAAUAUUUCCAUACACCAAAUAUAGUUGACCUAUUGUUUAUAGUUUUAGAAAAAAGACCAAAACUCAAUAACUUAACUUUGACCACUGAACCAUGAAAAUGAGGUCAAGGUCAGAUGACACCUGCCAGCUAGACAUGUUCACCUUACAAUCAUUCCAUACACCAAAUAUAGUAGACCUAUUGCAUACAGUAUAAGAAAAACAGACCAAAACACAAAAAUUAACUAUAACCACUGAACCAUGAAAAUGAGGUCAAGGUCAGAUGACACCUGCCAGCUGGACAUGUACACCUUACAGUGCUUCCAUAUACCGAAUAU